CAGUCGAACGGCAGCACGGGAGCAAUCCUGGUGGCGAGUGGCGAACGGGUGAGUAAUAUAUCGGAACGUGCCCAGUCGUGGGGGAUAACGCAGCGAAAGCUGUGCUAAUACCGCAUACGAUCUCUGGAUGAAAGCGGGGGACUCGUAAGAGCCUCGCGCGAUUGGAGCGGCCGAUAUCAGAUUAGCUAGUUGGUGGGGUAAAGGCCCACCAAGGCGACGAUCUGUAGCUGGUCUGAGAGGACGACCAGCCACACUGGAACUGAGACACGGUCCAGACUCCUACGGGAGGCAGCAGUGGGGAAUUUUGGACAAUGGGCGCAAGCCUGAUCCAGCAAUGCCGCGUGCAGGAUGAAGGCCUUCGGGUUGUAAACUGCUUUUGUACGGAACGAAAAGGUCUGCCUUAAUACGGUGGGCCCAUGACGGUACCGUAAGAAUAAGCACCGGCUAACUACGUGCCAGCAGCCGCGGUAAUACGUAGGGUGCGAGCGUUAAUCGGAAUUACUGGGCGUAAAGCGUGCGCAGGCGGUUAUAUAAGACAGAUGUGAAAUCCCCGGGCUCAACCUGGGACCUGCAUUUGUGACUGUAUAGCUAGAGUACGGUAGAGGGGGAUGGAAUUCCGCGUGUAGCAGUGAAAUGCGUAGAUAUGCGGAGGAACACCGAUGGCGAAGGCAAUCCCCUGGACCUGUACUGACGCUCAUGCACGAAAGCGUGGGGAGCAAACAGGAUUAGAUACCCUGGUAGUCCACGCCCUAAACGAUGU
rnacentral:rRNA from 1 species